CCUACGGGUGGCAGCAGUGGGGAAUAUUGGACAAUGGGCGAAAGCCUGAUCCAGCCAUGCCGCGUGUGUGAAGAAGGCCUUCGGGUUGUAAAGCACUUUCAGUGGGGAAGAAAGCCUUGGGGCUAAUACCCUCGAGGAAGGACAUCACCCACAGAAGAAGCACCGGCUAACUCCGUGCCAGCAGCCGCGGUAAUACGGAGGGUGCGAGCGUUAAUCGGAAUUACUGGGCGUAAAGCGCGCGUAGGCGGUCUGAUAAGCCGGUUGUGAAAGCCCCGGGCUCAACCUGGGAACGGCAUCCGGAACUGUCAGGCUAGAGUGCAGGAGAGGAAGGUAGAAUUCCCGGUGUAGCGGUGAAAUGCGUAGAGAUCGGGAGGAAUACCAGUGGCGAAGGCGGCCUUCUGGACUGACACUGACGCUGAGGUGCGAAAGCGUGGGUAGCAAACAGGAUUAGAUACCCGGGAGUC
rnacentral:rRNA from 1 species